rnacentral:rRNA from 1 species
GUUGACCUCGGAUCAGGUAGGGAUACCCGCUGAACUUAAGCAUAUCAAUAAGCGGAGGAAAAGAAACCAACAGGGAUUGCCCUAGUAACGGCGAGUGAAGCGGCAACAGCUCAAAUUUGAAAUCUGGCGCAAGCCCGAGUUGUAAUUUGCAGAGGAUGCUUCGAGGCAGCGGCCGGUCUAAGUUCCUUGGAACAGGACGUCAUAGAGGGUGAGAAUCCCGUAUGUGAUUGGCUCGCACCUCACACGUAGCUCCUUCGACGAGUCGAGUUGUUUGGGAAUGCAGCUCUAAAUGGGAGGUAAAUGUCUUCUAAAGCUAAAUACCGGCCAGAGACCGAUAGCGCACAAGUAGAGUGAUCGAAAGAUGAAAAGCACUUUGGAAAGAGAGUUAAAAAGCACGUGAAAUUGUUAAAAGGGAAGGGCAUGCAACCAGACUUGCCGGUGGUGUUCCGCCGGUCUUCUGACCGGUCUACUCGCCGCUGGCAGGCCAACAUCGUCUGGGUGCGCCGGAUAAAGGUGUCGGGAAUGUGGCCCCUCGGGGUGUUAUAGCUCGACACACAAUACGGCGCCGCUCGGGCGAGGUCCGCGCUUCGGCUAGGAUGUUGGCGUAAUGGUUGUAUGCCGCCCGUCUUGAAACACGGACCAAGGAGUCUAACAUCUAUGCGAGUGUUCGGGUGUCAAACCCCUACGCGGAAUGAAAGUGAACGGAGGUGGGAACCGCAAGGUGCACCAUCGACCGAUCCUGAUGUCUUCGGAUGGAUUUGAGUAAGAGCAUAGCUGUUGGGACCCGAAAGAUGGUGAACUAUGCCUGAAUAGGGUGAAGCCAGAGGAAACUCUGGUGGAGGCUCGCAGCGGUUCUGACGUGCAAAUCGAUCGUCAAAUUUGGGUAUAGGGGCGAAAGACUAAUCGAACCAUCUAGUAGCUGGUUCCUGCCGAAGUUUC